rnacentral:hammerhead_ribozyme from 1 species
AUCCAUCUGACGAGUCCCGAAUAGGAGUCCCAAAUAGGACGAAAGACCCGUCCUGGAU